CGGUAAUACCAGCUCUCCGAGUGGUGUGGAUGUUUAUUGGGCCUAAAGCAUCCGUAGCUGGCUAGGUAAGUCCUUUGUUAAAUCCACCGAAUUAAUCGUUGGAUCGCGGGGGAUACUGCUUGGCUAGGGGACGAGAGAGGCAGACGGUAUUUUUGGGGUAGGGGUGAAAUCCUAUAAUCCCAGGAAGACCACCAGUGGCGAAGGCUGUCGGCUAGAACGCG
rnacentral:rRNA from 1 species